ensembl:lncRNA
UCUAUAUCCUUAGGAGAUUUUCAAACAUAGGGAGCAGGCAAUGGAUACAUUCUCUUCUCUGUACCCUCACAUCCCUUUGUAUUGGGUUGUAAAAAUCUCCUAUUUCAUUUUUUGAGCACUUACUCUGUGGCCUUUGCAGUGGAGAUGCAUAAGGCGAGACUCUUCUCUACCUGGAGCUCACAGUCUUCCCUGGGACAUGGCAAAGGAAAAAGAGCAUCGUAGUCCAGUGUGAGAGAUCAGCUAAGUAAAGGACACAGUAAGAGACUAGGAGGGGAAGGGAAACCUUCCUGGAGAAGGCGUGACGAGCUUACGAGUGGGAGAGACUCCUAAUCAAAAUAGAAAGGACAAAGGCAAGCCUGGAUAUGGACAAAGAAGAGAGAACAUCAAAACUUAAGACUGGCUCAUGUGAAGAUAAUAAGCUGUCUUUAAAAAAAAAUAAAGAAAUGACGGUUCUGUGUGUGUGUGUGUGUGUGUGUGUGUGUGUGGCCACAGAGUAUAAAAUCAAAGAAGAAAACCUAACAAGAAGCAAGAUUGGUGAAGUAGAUAAGCUCAUGAUGGGAACCAUGAGUCUAGCUAAGAAGUUUGAACUUAGAGGUCAGGAGGAGCCACUAUGGGCUUUUAAGACGAGAAGUGAAAAGACAAAUGUGAGUUUCACUCUGCCUGAUGAGAGGAGAGCAGCUGGGAGUGUGGCAGACCAUUAUGGCUCCCAGCUCUUCCCUUUCUCCCGGUGUUUAUGAUUAUAUAUCAAUACCCUUUGCUAUGCUAUUUUGCAGUGAGGUUUCUUAACCUCAGUAAUAUUGGCCGUCUGUAUUAGGUCAUUCUUUGCAGUGGGGGCUGGCCAAGGUCAACAUUGUAGGAUGUUGAGCAGCAUACUACCCACCUUUUAUUGUUGUUUAGUAGCUCAACUGUGUAUGACUCUUUUGAGACCCCAUAGACUGUAGCCCACCAGGCUCCUCUGUCUAUAGGAUUUCCCAGGCAAGAAUACUGGAGUGGGUUGCCAUUUCUUUCUCCAACUCGAAGCCUUUUAGCCUUUUUUCACAAUAAACUGUGGAAAAUUCUGAAAGAGAUGGGAAUAUCAGACCACCUGACCUGCCUCUUGAGAAACCUAUAUGCAGGUCAGGAAGCAACAGCUAGAACUGGACAUGGAACAACAGACUGGUUCCAAAUAGGAAAAGGAGUACGUCAAGGCUGUAUAUUGUCACCCUGCUUAUUUAACUUAUAUGCAGAGUACAUCAUGAAAAAUGCUAGGCUGGAAGAAGUAUAAGCUGGAAUCAAGAUUGCUGGGAGAAAUAUCAACAACCUCAGAUAUGCAGAUGACACCCCCUUUAUGGCAGAAAGUGAAGAGGAACUAAAAAGCCUCUUGAUGAAAGUGAAAGAGGAGAGUGAAAAAGUUGGCUUAAAGCUCAACAUUCAGAAAACAAAGAUCAUGGCAUCUGGUCCCAUCACUUCAUGGGAAAUAGAUGGGGAAACAGUGGAAACAGUGUCAGACUUUUAUUUUGGGGGGCUCCAAAAUCACUGCAGAUGGUGACUGCAGCCAUGAAAUUAAAAGACACUUUCUCCUUGGAAGGAAAGUUAUGACCAACCUAGAUAGCAUCUUCAAAAGCAGAGACAUUACUUUGCCAACAAAGGCCCAUCUAAUCAAGGCUAUGGUUUUUCCAGUGGUCAUGUAUGGAUGUGAGAGUUAGACUGAAGAAAGCUGGGCACCAAAGAAUUGAUGCUUUUGAACUGUGGUGUUGGAUAAGACUCUUGAGAGUCCCUUGGACUGCAAGGAGAUCCAACCAGUCCAUUCUGAAGGAAAUCAACCCUGGGAUUUCUUUGGAAGGAAUGAUGCUGAAGCUGAAACUCCAGUACUUUGGCCACCGUAUGUGAAGAGUUGACUCACUGGAAAAGACUCUGAUGCUGGGAGGGAUUGGGGGCAGGAGGAGAAGGGGACGACAGAGGAUGAGAUGGCUGGAUGGCAUCACCGACUCGAUGGACAUGAGUUUGAGUGAACUCCUGGAGUUGGUGAUGGACAGGGAGGCCUGGCGUGGUGCAAUUCAUGGGGUCGCAAAGAGUUGGCCACGACUGAGCGACUGAACUGAACCCUCUAGUUUCCAGUAAAAUCACUGCUGCAUCCCCCUGCCUCCAUCCUACCUGUGAGAACCAAGAAUAUCUCAGAGUAACCUUGGAGGGAAAAAUAACUUACCCUGCUCCCCUAGUUGAGUACUGCCAUUCUAAAAAGGUGGAAUAUACAACUCUGGCCAACUGAUCGUUUGCUUGGGCUAGAGGAAUGCGAGCAGCUGGUAUAUAUGCUGCAGCCAACCAGCAGCUUUAAAUGAGCUUUCAUGUCUCAAUGAACUCUUCUGGCAUGAUAAGAUCAUGCCCCAAGUUAUCUCUUUCAGCCUGGAUUCUGGAAUGAAGACAUUUGCAGCUAACUUGGACCAACCUGAAACCUGGAGUCAGUCAAGUCUAACUGAGCCUAGCUGAGAUCAGGGACUUCAGUUUGUCAGCCUGAAAUUCUCAUCCAAGAAGAUUUUUAGGAACAGAAUCCUGCAGAGUGGGCUCUGCAGGGUAAGGAAAUCAUGUGAAUGACUCUUGCACUGCCCACUUUUAUCCUGAGCCACUUUUAGGGUUUCUGAGCCCUGUCUCUUGCUAUAACCAGAUUAAGCUAUAACCCUUGCAUUGCCCAGUCUACAUAUAAGUCAUUUCUCAUCACAAAUGCAUCAAAAAAAAACAAGCCACGCAUACGUACACCCCAAACUACCUCCUCCUCUGUCAUCAAAAAUC